GAUUGAGAACUAGCCAGCACACUUUGGGGCCGGCUAUCAGGGGCAGACUGGGGCGAAGGAUGUACCGGGGCAGACACUGGGUGGAGCCGCGGGCUGGCUGGCGCACUCUGGGGCCUGUUAUCUGGGGCAGGUUGGGGCGCUGGCUGGACUGGGGCCGACACUGGCUGGGGCAGAGGUCUCUCACUGCGUCCCGCUGUAGCUCCAAGGCAGUGACCCUCACACGCAAGUCCUUGACCUCGGCUCGGAUUUCCAGCAAGAGCUGCACCACGUCCUGGAGGGUCGAAGGCACGCCAGCCUGGGAUACGGGGACUGCACGCUCAGCCCCCUACUGCAGCAGCAUAUGGAAGCACUGUUUGCUAUAUGAAAACAGUGAAAUUGAAAAUACCAAAAGACAUAUUGUUGGAAUUUUGGAGAAAAAGACAAAAACAGAAAAGAAAUAUGCAAAACUAAAAAGAAAAAAAAAAAAAAAAAAAAACCAGACAGUGAAUAUAACAACAGUAAAAUUAAUAAACAGCAAUAUAAAAAACCCGGAGCGACAGGAAAACCCAUCAGGAAGUGCCGUUCCAAAAGGCAUUACUUCCGACACCAACCAGAACCAGCCAGAACACCCGUCAUUGCUAGCUUGGAGUGUUGACAUUGACAGCUUUUGAACAUUUGUGGAGCAGGUGCACCAUGGCUUGCCGCAAUGUCACAACUGGUCCUUGGAGAGCCGCUGGUGGUGACGGGCUGCCUGUGUCCUCUCUGCGACAAAACUCACAAA